AAGGUCAAUGUUCAAAGUUCAAUGAAGAUAUUUUCUUUUGUGAGCUUGAGCCGCUUUCACCUGGGAAACCCAAAAAGGUAGGGAUAUUUUGGAAAUCGAAGCCACUCUUUUGUUUUCGAGAAGAACGAGGAAAAAGUUUGAGACCUCGAAGGCUCGGGACUUUCGGUACUUUUGGUCAGUCGAAGUCGCGCAGCCGUAGGGGUUGAGCUUGAGCUCAACCCCUAGGAGGAUAAUCAAAUCGGAAGUAUAUUUUAUCGGAAAUAUAUUCAUCUCGGGACCGCGUGUGAUAGUCGUGUGCUUCAAGUGUAUUACCAUCAGUGUAGUUUCGUAUUCGGUACUUUAGUUUCGUGUUCGGUACUUUAGUUUCGUGUUCGGUACUUUAUUUUCGUGUUCGGUACUUUAUUAUUAAAAUUUUUCUCAGUGAAUUAUUCCGUGAAUAUAGAAGGUGCAGUGAAUAGUUGAGCAGCCUUACUUUCCGAAAGUUUUCUAUCCGCCGAAAGUUUUCGUCAGCGAGCCUCUACUUUUUCUGUCUAGUGUAAUAGUUUGCCGUGUUUUACAAUAAGAGGAAGUAGUAUUUGUCACUCGUGUCGGUUGUUAUCGUGCGCAUUUUCGGUAGUGUCUUUUCAUCGAUAUUUCUGUGAAAUUUGAUUUGAGAAUAUAGUUUCGGAAGUCAUUUUGCUCACGUAUAUUCCUCAGCAUUGAUUCGGCAACAUUCGAGAAGGGGAUGAACGAGGAUGGAAAUCUUCACCCUCCGCAUCAGAGCUGUUCCUGACCUUGCAGAUCAUCGCUUCUUCACG